ensembl:miRNA
CUUUUUCCUAUGCAUAUACUUCUUUGAGAAUUGCUUCUAAAGAGGUAUAGGGCAUGGGAAAAUGGGGCA